GCUUACGGCCAUACCACCCUGAGCACGCCCGAUCUCGUCUGAUCUCGGAAGCUAAGCAGGGUCGGGCCUGGUUAGUACUUGGAUGGGAGACUGCCUAGGAAUACCAGGUGCUGUAAGCU
rnacentral:rRNA from 1 species